rnacentral:lncRNA from 1 species
AUGGAUUGGAUGGAUAUGGAUUGGAUCCUUAAUUGAUGGAUCAAAACAAUCCAUUAAAAGUUUUUUAAAAAUAUCCAAUCCAAUCCAUCCAUUAAGAAUAAAAUCCAUCCAAUCCAUCCAUUAUCAUAUUUUUAGUGGAUGGAUAUCCGUCCAUCCAUUUUUUUUUUGAAAAAAAUCACUUAUUUUUUUGAAAAUUUUAUUUUUUUCAAAAAGUUUUUUAUUUUUUUUGAAUAAAACAAUAUCAGUUUUUUUUGAGAAAAAUCAUUUUUUU